rnacentral:rRNA from 1 species
UACAGAGGUCCCAAGCGUUGUUCGGAUUCACUGGGCGUAAAGGGUGCGCAGGUGGGUUUGCAAGUUUGAUGUGAAAGCCCCGGGCUUGACCCGGGAAUGGCAUUGAAUACUGCAGAUCUGGAGGAUUGGAGGGGGGACUGGAAUUCUUGGUGUAGCAGUGAAAUGCGUAGAUAUCAAGAGGAACACCUGCGGCGAAGGCGGGUUGCUGGGCCGACACUGACGCUGAGGCGCGAAAGCCAGGGGAGCGAACGGG